CCCUUAGAUGUUCUGGGCGGCCCGCGCACUACAAUGGCGCUUUCAGCGAGUUCCUAUGUUGAAUUUUCCUGGGUAUUCUUGGAAGCGGCGUCUUGACUUGGGAUAGAUCCUUGUAAUUGUUGGUUUUGAACGGGGAAUUCCUUGUAAUCGCGGUUGAUCAGCUCGCGUUGAAUACGUCCCUGCCCUUUGUACACACCGCCCGUCGCACCUACCGAUUGAAUGGUCCGGUGAAGCCUCGGGAUUGUGGCGAGUUCCCUUUAUUGGGAGUUUGUCGCGAGAACUUGUCUAAACCUUAUCAUUUAGAGGAAGGUGAAGUCGUAACA
rnacentral:rRNA from 1 species